GGAAUCCCCUCCUUCUUUGGCAACCUGUUUAAAAUCACAAAAAUAACAUGGCAUUUUUAUACAACCUAGCAACAAACUUCAAACUUUCUGCCGUCUAGCAGGAUUGACUGCAAAGACCAGUAAGAGCUGGAUAUAUUUGACAAUUGUUAGUUUGCCCAGUGAAAAAUUUUCAAGAAACUAGACAUUCGCUUCAAUAUCUAUGGUGAGACAUUAUUCAUUCUUCAUAUGUACUUUCCAUUGCUCAAAUGAUAUGCUAGCAUGAAAUAAUGUCUCACCAUAGA
rnacentral:misc_RNA from 1 species